ACUCCGCUUGAUCCUGGCGGACCCAACUGCUAUCGGGGUGGGACUAAGCCAUGCGAGUUCGCGCCUCUAGCCAUGGAGAGGCGCGGCGCACGGCUCAGUAACACGUGGCUAACUUACCCUUGGGACGGGGACAACCCCGGGAAACUGGGGCUAAUCCCCGAUAGGCAAGGUUUGCCUGGAAGGGUUCCUUGCCUAAAGGAAGCUGGAACCAUGCUUCCAGCUUCGCCCAAGGAUAGGGCCGCGUCCGAUCAGGUAGCUGGUGGGGUAACGGCCCACCAGGCCUAUAACCGGUACGGGCCGUGAGAGCGGGAGCCCGGAGAUGGACCCUGAGACAAGGGUCCAGGCCCUACGGGGCGCAGCAGGCGCGAAACCUCCGCAAUGCGCGCAAGCGUGACGGGGUCACCCCGAGUGCCGCUCGCUGAGAGCGGCUUUUACCUGGUUUAACCCGCCAGGUGAAUAAGGGGGGGGCAAGCCUGGUGUCAGCCGCCGCGGUAAUACCAGCUCCCCGAGUGGUUGGGACGAUUAUUGGGUCUAAAGCAUCCGUAGCCGGCCGAGGAAGUUCUCCGUUAAAUCCAGCGAUUCAAUCGUUGGACUGCGGAGAAUACUCCUCGGCUAGGGGGCGGGGGAGGCCGGCGGUAGUCCCGGGGUAGGGGCGAAAUCCUAUAAUCCCGGGAGGACCACCAGUGGCGAAGGCGGCCGGCCAAAACGCGCCCGACGGUGAGGGAUGAAAGCUGGGGGAGCGAACGGGAUUAGAUACCCCGGUAGUCCCAGCCGUAAACGAUGCGGACUAGGUGUCGGGACGGCUACGAGCCGUUCCGGUGCCGCAGGGAAGCCGUUAAGUCCGCCACCUGGGGAGUACGGCCGCAAGGCUGAAAUGUCGAGGAGUUUUAAACCAAAAAUCGUUAAAUCUACUUUUUUCAAUAAUAAAUAAGGUUUGCAAGAAAACCUUGAUUUGUAAUAUUGCUUCAAUGAUUCAAGUAAUCCCUUAUUUUUAUCCCUAUGGUGCUUAUUGUGAUAACCUCAAUCUUUAUUUAACUGUUAAAGAUUGAAAAUGUUAAAGGUUGUUUUCGUCUUUACUUUAAAAAUCCUGCUCCUCGACACAGCAGACUUAAAGGAAUUGGCGGGGGAGCACCACAAGGGGUGAAGCCUGCGGCUUAAUUGGAGUCAACCCCGGGAAUCUUACCAGGGGAGACAGCGGGAUGAAGGCCAGAUUAAAGGUCUUGCCGGACUAGCUGAGAGGAGGUGCAUGGCCGUCGCCAGUUCGUGCCGUGAGGUGUUCUCUUAAGUGAGACAACGAACGAGACCCGCGCCCUUAGUUGCUAACGAUCCCCUUUGGGGGGUCGUGCACACUAAGGGGACUGCCUCCGCUAAGGAGGAGGAAGGAGCGGGCCACGGCAGGUCAGUAUGCCCCGAAUCCCCUGGGCCGCACGCGGGCUGCAAUGGCUGGGACAAUGGGUUCCGACCCCGAAAGGGGAAGGUAAUCCCUAAACCCAGCCUCAGUUGGGAUCGAGGGCUGUAACUCGCCCUCGUGAACAUGGAAUCCCUAGUAACCGCGUGUCAUCAUCGCGCGGUGAAUACGUCCCUGCUCCUUGCACACACCGCCCGUCGCUCCACCCGAGUUUAGUUUAGGCGAGGUGCAGCCUUAAAGGCUGCAUCGAACCUAAACUAAGCGAGGGGGGAGAAGUCGUAACAAGGUAGCCGUAGGGGAACCUGCGGCUGGAUCACCUCCU
rnacentral:rRNA from 1 species